rnacentral:rRNA from 1 species
UACGUAGGGGGCAAGCGUUGUCCGGAUUUAUUGGGCGUAAAGAGCGUGUAGGCGGCCUAACAAGGUCAGCUGUGAAAACUCGAGGCUACCAUCGAGACGUCGGUUGAAACCUGUUGGCUAGAGUCCGGAAGAGGAGAGUGGAAUUCCCGGUGUAGCGGUGAAAUGCGCAGAUAUCGGGAAGAACACCCGUGGCGAAGGCGGUCUCUGG